rnacentral:tRNA from 1 species
GUUAACACCCCUUCCCCUGCUA